UGGGGAAUCUUGCACAAUGGGCGGAAGCCUGAUGCAGCGACGCCGCGUGGGGGAUGACGGCCUUCGGGUUGUAAACUCCUUUCGCCAGGGACGAAGCCGUGAGGUGACGGUACCUGGAUAAGAAGCACCGGCUAACUACGUGCCAGCAGCCGCGGUAAUACGUAGGGUGCGAGCGUUGUCCGGAAUUACUGGGCGUAAAGAGCUCGUAGGUGAUUUGUCGCGUCGUCUGUGAAAUUCCGGGGCUUAACUCCGGGCGUGCAGGCGAUACGGGCAUAACUUGAGUGCUGUAGGGGAGACUGGAAUUCCUGGUGUAGCGGUGAAAUGCGCAGAUAUCAGGAGGAACACCGAUGGCGAAGGCAGGUCUCUGGGCAGUAACUGACGCUGAGGAGCGAAAGCAUGGGUAGCGAACAGG
rnacentral:rRNA from 1 species